AAGUUUGCUUAAAGCAAUGCAAUUUGGUCCUGAACAUGGGUGGUUCUCUCUGUUCUACUCCUGCCUGAUUAAAAAUGCAAACAUAGGAAACAAGAAUGAUAAAGAAAGUACUAUAGAAGCCAAGUUUAGAGAGCUUGAAAAAGAAAGUAGCUAGCAACUGUAACCCUUCUGGGCAAAGUUUCAUGCAUACAUUGAAGAAUGGCACUGAUUUACUUGCCUGCAAAGCUGAAUACUACAAUCAAUGUGAUGAAUACAACAAAUGUUUCGAACUAACAUCGAUGUAAGUUUGCAGGACUGUUUAAACAGAAUAUGUUUUAAACAUGCACGUUAGAUGCGAUCGCUUAUUUGAGUUUUCUUUUUUUACUUUAAAAAACUUCUCGAGAAGGACCCUUUCCAUUUGAAAUGUACAUUGGUUCAUUUAGCUGCUGCUAUGGAGCUUGGAAAUUCAAAUGAGCUUUAUCUUAUGGCUUGUGAUUUGGUGAAGGAUUAUCCUCAAAAAUUAAUGAAGAUUACUGAUUUACUAAAGGUGAAUGCAGAAUGCCAGAUGGAUUUGGUACUUUGAUACACAAUUCAGUAGAAUGCUGCAGAUGAACAUCACAUCAAUGCCUAGAUUAAUAUGAUUUGUUCAUGGAGAUGAGAACUCAUAUUGAGUGAACUUUCUUAAACCACCAUUUAUAAAAAAAAAAAAGAGCUAAACAUCAGUUUUUCCUGUGUUAUACUGCUGCGAAUAUCUCAUUAGUUCGGUCUUCUCCGAUUUGCCCUCUCCAGGAUUGCUUGCUGCAGGGAUCCCAUACCAUAUUUUGGGCAUAUUGAAUGUGGAAAAAGGAGAUUUGCUUUCGAGCGAGUUUCAGUGGUGAUUAGAUAGUAAAGGAUUGUGUUAUUGAAAUUGGAAUAUCAAGGAGUCUUUUCUUAAUAGUUAGUUUUGAUUUAAAACAGGAUGUUCACUGAAGGUGACCAAAUAUAUUUCAUAGAGUGGCAGGAAAUUUUACAUUUUUAAAGCUAAA